ensembl:misc_RNA Metazoa_SRP Metazoan signal recognition particle RNA
GCAGGGCAUGGUGGCGUGUGCCUGUAAUCCCAGCUACUCAGGAAGCUGAGACAGGAGAAUCGCUUGAACCCAGGAGGCGGAGGUUGCAGUGAGUCAAGAUUGCGCCAUUGCACUCCAGCCUGGGCAACAAAGCGAGACUCUGUCUCAA